UACAGAGGUGGCAAGCGUUGUUCGGAAUUACUGGGCGUAAAGGGCGCGUAGGCGGCCUUCUAAGUCAGACGUGAAAUCCCCCGGCUUAACCUGGGAACUGCGUCUGAUACUGGAGGGCUUGAGUGCGGGAGAGGGAUGUGGAAUUCCAGGUGUAGCGGUGAAAUGCGUAGAUAUCUGGAGGAACACCGGUGGCGAAGGCGGCAUCCUGGACCGACACUGACGCUGAGGCGCGAAAGCUAGGGGAGCGAACGAGGAAUUGAUGA
rnacentral:rRNA from 1 species